AUUGAACGCUGGCGGCAGGCUUAACACAUGCAAGUCGAGCGGGGUGAUGGUGCUUGCACUAUCACUUAGCGGCGGACGGGUGAGUAAUGCUUAGGAAUCUGCCUAUUAGUGGGGGACAACAUCUCGAAAGGGAUGCUAAUAACGCAUACGUCCUACGGGAGAAAGCAGGGGAUCACUUGUGACCUUGCGCUAAUAGAUGAGCCUAAGUCGGAUUAGCUAGUUGGUGGGGUAAAGGCCUACCAAGGCGACGAUCUGUAGCGGGCCUGAGAGGGUACUCCGCCACACUGGGACUGUGACACGGCCCAGACUCCUACGGGAGGCAGCAGUGGGGAAUAUUGGACAAUGGGGGGAACCCUGAUCCAGCCAUGCCGCGUGUGUGAAGAAUGCCUUAUGGUUGUAAAGCACUUUAAGCGAGGAGGAGGCUCUUUUGGUUAAUACCCAAGAUGAGUGGACGUUACUCGCAGAAUAAGCACCGGCUAACUCUGUGCCAGCCGCCGCCGUAA
rnacentral:rRNA from 1 species